rfam:Leptospirillum ferrodiazotrophum TBAL3_2406_3, whole genome shotgun sequence.
CCCCGUUUUCCCUGACGGGUAGCCUACUGGAACUGGCGUGGUUGGCAACAGCCGGGUCAGGAGCUUCCGGGACAAUGUACCCUCCCAGAAAUGGGCUCUUCAAGCCGAGAGGCGACAGGAGGACCUGCCAGCAUCAGGCGGGGCAGGGG